AAGUCGUAACAAGGUUUCCGUAGGUGAACCUGCGGAAGGAUCAUUAAUAAAUGCUUCAUUGCAUCCACCUUUUGUGCACCGUAAAUUUUCACUUAAACUUUGUCUGAUUUAUAUCUGUUCUGAAAGGAACAUGAAUUGUAAUCUAAUACAACUUUUAACAAUGGAUCUCUUGGCUCUCGCAUCGAUGAAGAACGCAGCGAAAUGCGAUAAGUAAUGUGAAUUGCAGAAUUCAGUGAAUCAUCGAAUCUUUGAACGCAUAUUGCGCUCUCCGGCAUUCCGGAGAGCAUGCCUGUUUGAGUCUUGGUACCAAUCUGGUGUAACCUUUGUAUUAAGAAUAGAACUUUUUAUAAAAAAACUGCAUUGAGACGUCUUGAUAAGUAAAAUUGUUAAGUGUCUUAAAAUACAAUAGUACAGCUAUAGCUCACCCUCUUUGGAGUAAUAUGUGACCUGAAAGGGUAACUCUAUUUCUCCUCGUUGGGAAGACUUGUUGCUGGAAGUUUUUGAUUGCUGAACGUCAAAGGCGGCAUUCAAUUGUUCGAGUAACGACGAACUUAAAAAUUCAAGCUCAAAUCAGGUAGGAUUACCCGCUGAACUUAAGCAUAUUAAUAAGCGGAGGAAAAGAAACUAACAAGGAUUCCCCUAGUAACGGCGAGUGAAGCGGAAGAGCUCAAAAUUGGAAUCUGGGCAGUUUUCUGCUCCGAAUUGUAAUCUAUAGACGUGUUUUCGGUGGUUGUGUUGGUAUAAAUCCUUUGGAACAGGGUAUCAUAGAGGGUGAAAAUCCCGUCUUUGACUGACUUACAACUGCCAUGUGAUACAUGCUCGAAGAGUCGCAUUGUUUGGGAAUGCAGUGCAAAUUGGGUGGUAAAUUUCAUCUAAAGCUAAAUAAUGGCGAGAGACCGAUAGCGAACAAGUACCGUGAGGGAAAGAUGAAAAGAACUUUGAAAAGAGAGUUAAAUAGUACGUGAAAUUGUUAAGAGGGAAACGCAUGAAAUCAGUAAUCUUUACAGCAAAUCAACCAGUUUUUGUCUUGCGCGUAACUUGGAGAUUUGUCCAAGGUGCAAACGAGAUAAAUAAUGGUGCACUUUGCUGCAAAGGAGUCAACAUCAGUUUGGAUUGAUGGAUACAUCUCUGUGGAAGGUAGCCACUUCGGUGGUGUUUAGCCACGGUAGAUAUACAUUGGUCUGGACUGAGGUCUGCAGCACACUCUUUGCAGAACAUGCUGGUUCUCGUUCUGGAUCUUUAUGGCCCUCAACUUGUUGAGUGUUGUAAAGAAUUCAGUACUACUGGUCUCUGUUACAUUUGUGCUUGGGAUGUUGACAAAAUGGUUUUAUACGACC
rnacentral:rRNA from 1 species